rnacentral:rRNA from 1 species
UACGUAGGGGGCAGCGUUGUCCGGAUUUAUUGGGCGUAAAGAGCGUGUAGGCGGUUUGGUAGGUCCGCUGUGAAAACUCGGAGGCUCCAACUCGAGACGCCGGUAGGAAACCAUCAGGCUAGAGUCCGGAAGAGGAGAGUGGAAUUCCUGGUGUAGCGGUGAAAUGCGCAGAUAUCAGGAAGAACACCCGUGGCUAAGGCGGCUCUCUAGUACGGUACUGAACGCUGAGACGGCGAAAGCGUGGGGGAGCGAACAGG